AUCGUUAUUUUAGUUUUUAACCCGAUGGUAAUAACCAGAGGGACAAAAGUAUAGAAUAAGGUGUAAAGGUGAGUAAUGAUAAAUAAGAUACCUUAUAGUCCUUUGAAAUAGAGGAUAUUUAUAUAAUAUCAAUUAUAUGGCAUAAUAUAGCUUAAUUCUGAAAAAAGGAAAUUUUCUACUAUAAGAGUCGAUUUAU
rnacentral:rRNA from 1 species